AACCCAGAGUCUGAGUCAUCAUCUAUAGCCACUGUCAUGAUAUAGUCAAUCACGAUGAUGAACAAGUAUGAGGUGUCUCUUUGCAGUACUCCCGAAUCCCGAUCCUACCAGGACUUCGAAGACCCCUGUAAUACCAUCUAUUCUGGUAUACCAUUUGCUUUAAGUAUCUUAAUAACUCUGACUUACUUGACUUAAGGCGGCUUCAGCGUCCGAGUAUUGAUGCGCUGUCUCCAUAAAACUCUAUCCGCCAUAAGUCCGCCCAUUUCUCCAGUGUCGUUGAGACCCGUGUCAGCUCGUAGGCUAUCAACAUAAGUCAUGGCUGGUCUUAAUAAGCAAACCUUUAUGUACACUGUCAAAGGCUUUAUUAAAAUCUAUAAACACCAUAGUGGCCUUCACACUCAUGGCCUUUAGACCCUAUAUAAUUCUUCACAGAACAAGAAUGUGCGAAGUUGUAGAGCAACCAGGUCUGAAGCCAUUCUGGUUGUCUCUUAGUUCUUCUUCAAGUCUUUGCUUCAUCCUGCUCAGCAUUUUGAUUAGAGUUUUACUUUUUGUUUCUGAUUUCUAGAAAAUCAUAAGACGUGGCACUUGGUAGCACUCUGUUUGCAAUAACUACCUACUAAUGAUAUCCAUUACCCAUGACAUGUAUAGUUUCUUUUAGGGGUUAUAGAGGUGUCAGGAUUUUAGUAUCCACAGCAAUAUAUAGGUGAUCUGGAACUCAAUCUUAUCAAUACUCCUACAUGAUUUUAUGGAGUGAUUGUUGCAGUGAAUGAAUUUAAUAUAUAUUUGUGUUAAAUUCCUAUUUUGGACUCUUAAACUCUUUAAUUUUAUAUGUUAUUGGAUUGAACCAAGUAACAUGUUACUCUAGCGAGAUCUCCAUCCAAAAAGAUUAGUCUGCGCGAGCUGUUUUAUUACUUUACUUAUACAUCUUCGGAGGGUAGGUAACAUUUCUACUACAUUUAAGCUCUUCCUAUAGACCUGCCUCUUGAUCUCUUCCUAUUUUUGGGUUGUCAUUCAAGUAGACAGUUGGGUAACCGAUCUUCAGGCAUUCUACUGACAAGUCCAAAGCAAUGCAGCUAUUUUGUUGUAAGUAUGUCAGUAAGGGAAGUUAUUAAUGCCCUUCUUAAAACAUCCCUUGGACCAAGAGGAAGAUUAAGUGAGUGUGUAAUGUCACCAGACAGUAACCACCAACUCUAUUCAAAGAUUCAAGAUCCACUUGUCACAGAAAAAUAUUCGAAGAGAUUCUUUCAGAUAUUAUAGUAUAUAGUACAUUAAAAAUUCAAGGUGUUAUAUUAUUAUAACCUGAUCUUGCCCUCCGGGGUCCCAUCAUAAGCACAUUCAACUUAAUCUUAUUCUUUACCUAGAUGUUACCUGUAAAUCGCAGAACUGGUUGGACAAUGGACAUCAAGACUACUGUCACAGCCUGGUGACCUAGAGCUAAAUGAGCUACUGUUUCCUGUGUAGACCUCCCAGAUGCUGGACAGGCUAGGAUGUUCCUCGCCUUGCAUGGUGGGCUGAACAUGGAGCUACCGAAAGCUGCGAAUCAUUUAGAAAUAAACUCAAAUGCAGCAGACAGACAGAAGCAUUAGUUUGAGUUAAGUUGUAAAGCUUCUUUAAACUUUUUCAUCACAAAGAGAAAUUUGUGUUAAAUAGUAGUGGUAAAUUUAAAGGGCGUGUUGGUAGACCUAAUACAAACUUAUAUCAAAUAUGCUUGUUGAUGACCUUAAAUAUAGAAACUUAGAACUUAGAAAUUUGAGUGAUUUAAAUGAAAUAAGGGAUAUUGCUAGCUGUAGGAAGUGUUGGAAACUGUUGUACUAGGCACAGAUUACGUAGUUAAGAUGUUUUCUUAAUGGAGUUCUAUUAACUAUGUAUGAUCCUGUUUUAUAAUAAGAUUAUUUGUAUAGAGUCGUAUAUAAUGUUUCUUCUUAGACUGCCAGAGAGCACAGAAGAUGGCUACUAGACAGCUAAAAUCGAUACUUUACGAGCCACCAGGGGAUGCCUUUUUUCGAUGGAUAAAGUAAGUGCACCGACUUUUGACGCUUAAAAAAGUAAAAAGGACUUUUCACAGAGAUAUUUUGGUACCAUCUUAUGAUGGCCUCUCAUAUGUAUCUUUCGCCUUUCGGAUCAAUUUAUUCCGGUCAACAAAGUUUCCUACUCCAGGCCAUUAAAUUGCUCCGUCAAAAACGCUAUUAUACCGGAGUUUUAUUAUAGUCCGGAGUUGGACGUUUUUCUGUACGCUUAGCUUGUCAAUCUAUGGUGUAGUUACCGUAUAAUAUAAAUGCUGUGAACACAUUUUUCACUUGCUCGUUGACGAGGGUCACGUGAUGGUAGGCGAAUUUGUCAAGUUUAUACGACUAUUGUAAUUGUACAAUAAAAUAUUUAUAUUUUUGUAUCCUUGUAUCCGUGACCUCUGACAGGACACCGGUCAUCUCGCCCAAUUUUCCCGGGAGAAUCAGAUCUCAUGUCAACUAGCGCGUGAUCAUCCCGGCCUGGGUGGUCCACUUGUAAUGUUGUCAAACGGGAACCUCGGCCUCGCACAUCUGGUAGUGAAGUACUGAUUACAGCUGCAGGUCCUCCAAAUUCACGAAGUCCAACAAGUCCUUGUAUGAGCCAUCAGUGUAAAUCACGGUACUUUUCUAAUCAUAAUCGCUUAGCUUGGCAUCAUUCAAUGGACAUUUGUUGUUCAAAAGAAGAAGAGUCAAAAAUGAGAGUGAACGGUGACUGCUUAUUGCAUAAGCUCUUAAAUCUGCUAACCGUACAUAGCUCACGCAGCUGUCUACAGUUGCUGGGCUCGUCCGGGUCAGAAAUUUAAAGUUUACUGCGGCGUGGGGCUACAUCGUCGUUCUGCUGUCGUGUACAUUUAAGAAUGUGGUGUGGAAAGAGUUCUGACUUUUCCUGGAGUAAAGAUAUAUGUCGGCCGUCUUUGUCACGGAGAAGUCUUUAAAGCUUUAAAGCUCUGAGCUUGACCUAUUAAAAGACAAAAGAUACAUUUGCACGUCACGAGUAAUGUGACCUACUGAAAAAAAAGUCGGGCAAUUUGAAAAUUUAGUCAAGUUCACACAUGCACAAUCAACCCCUCAUUGGUGUGAUCCUCUGAUCCGGGAAAUCGAGAUGUCCUCUCACAAACAACAGUUAUUAGUAACAAGCAUAACACGAUUUUCCAAUCUAUUAACGAAGUUUGAGCAUUUAGGGUCAAAGCAGAGACUUGGGUCGAUGUGAAUCGGCUUAAAAAUAACAAAUUUGGGGUAUCUUUAUUUUACAUCUUGGUCGAGACCUGUCACCAGCAAUAUGAUUUCAUGUUGCCUUAUUCAGGCGGGCGAAACUCACGUUACAUGCGAUCUGAUCAUCUGACUCUCACGAUCGAGAUCGGUAGCUUUAACUCACCAGCUCCAACACGGUUUUUUAGACUUUUUUCGGUUUUUCGAGCUGCCCUUCUCCCCUGAGGCCACGAUGAAAAACAUACAAUAUAUUAUAUCUUUAUUCUUUAUAUGUUACAUGCAUUCCCCUGCAGUAGUGAAAAGUAAAUUGUUUGUUUUAUUUCAGUGUCGACAGCUCAAACUAUGGUGGUAUCUUAUCGCUACAAUGCUGCUAACUAGACUCUUGGAUGAAGUUAAGUUGUUUUAGUCAGAUGAUCUACUUUUUGGCGUUUCCUACUGCCCUAGUUAUAGUAGUUCAAGGUUUAACUGUAAAUAUAGUGUUAAGUAAGUUUCAAUACUUCCCUGCCACCUUUUCAGACAUUGCAGAGAUGUGUGACCGCACAAUUCUCAAACCGAAGAAUCAAAAGGAGUUAUUGAUUUAUCGGUAUAUAAAGUAUGUAUGCUUUAUCAAACAAAGCCACUAGGUAAGCAAAUUCAAAUAUUUUGACAGUUCAUACUUCAUACUGCGGUUAUACAUUGCAGCCAAUGCGCAGCAAACAAGAGCUUGCCACGAGCUUGCCACUGCUAUAAGCAUUCGUAUUCGUAGCUUGUUUGAAUCUCAAAUUUAUUCGAAUUAUCAUAAGUAGCCGGAAGCCCGUCCUGCGGACGGAGUUCUUCAGCACAAAAUCGAUUCUCAAACAUUUUAAAUCUACCCUUUCUCAUUUCUACUUCUUUUCCUUUCACAAUUUUCAUGUUUUUUAAAAACUUCUUACCCCUAUCCAUGUCACCUAUGAUUCAUGCAUUUCUAGCUUCUCGGACAGUGCUGUCUUUUCCCUCAUUGGCAAAUCCUGAAAGUUUUAUGAAAAAUAUAGAUCAGAGUUAUGUUUGUUCUGCACGUCUGCAUUUCAGGUAUUCGUGACACAGUUUACGUGUGAUGACGUGGGCAUCUCUCAACACACUUUGCAGCAUGAGCGACGGUGCCCUGGCGGGAUAUCUGGAAAUGUAGCCUUGAGCUCAGUUUAUUUUUCUCCGUCACCUCACCCGGGGGAGGGGGGGGGGGAGCCAAUGACUUUGGGUACUUUGGGGACAAGUGCAGAAUUUCGCCAGCAAUUUAACCUCAAGUCUCCAAGAUUUUUAGCCCCCAUUGGUACCCAAAAGUCUCCUUUAGAAGUCAUUUAAUAAAA